rnacentral:rRNA from 1 species
GUGCCAGCAGCCGCGGUAAUACCGGCAGCCCGAGUGAUGGCCGAUCUUAUUGGGCCUAAAGCGUCCGUAGCCAGCCGAACAAGUCCGUUGGGAAAUCCACCCGCCUAACGGGUGGGCGUCCAGCGGAAACUGUCCGGCUUGGAACCGGAAGGCUCAGAGAGUACGUCCGGGGUAGGAGUGAAAUCCCGUAAUCCCGGACGGACUACCGAUGGCGAAAGCACUCUGAGAAGACGGCUUCGACAGUGAGGGACGAAAGCCAGGGUCUCGAACCGGAUUAGAAACCCGAGUAGUCC